rnacentral:tRNA from 1 species
AAGUAAAUAGCUAAAAAUAAGUAUAUUUUUUACACUAAUAAGAUAUCUAUUGAUUUUGCUUA